rnacentral:rRNA from 1 species
GAACUGGAGAGUUUGAUCCUGGCUCAGAUUGAANNNNNNNNNNGGCGUGCUUAACACAUGCAAGUCGUGCGAGAAAGGGGACUUCGGUCCCUGAGUAGAGCGGCGCACGGGUGAGUAACGCGUGGGUGAUCUACCCGGAAGUCUGGGAUAACGGUGGGAAACUGCCGCUAAUACCGGUUACGCUUCCAAUUCAGAAUUGGAGGGAAAGACGGCCUCUGCUUGCAAGCUGUCGCUUUCGGAUGAGCCCGCGUCCCAUUAGCUAGUUGGCGGGGUA